AUUAAUCACACUUCUUAAACACAUCUCUUGACCGGGGUGUUCUCACCAUGCCCUUUCUACAAACAAAAAGAAGGCAAUGUAUCGCAUCCUGUAUUACCUUCCCCUGACCUCAUAGCUUCCCAAAACAGGAACAAUCAUGGGCUUUGAAGUAAAGAAUGAAGAUGUGGAGACCUGGAGACAGGUGGCACCUCGUGCUUCCUCCGAAGGGAGAGCCCAUUUCCUAACAGCUGGAUCAAAGGCAUGAAAUGAACAUGGAGUCCCUGAAGAUGAAGAGAAGGCAUGGCUUCCAGGGAGAAAUUGUACAUUACAGGAAUGCAGAUGUGAUUCCUAUGGAUGAGGGUAACCUAGAGGCUAGAAGAACAAUAGGACAGAAGAAGCCUGGGUCCCUGAACAACCUUGUGGAGCAUAGACACCUACGUGGCCUGGACUGCCAGCUCACAAUGGGCCUCUCUGUGAGAGAAGGAAACUUCCCUCUUGUUUAAGCAACUGUGCUUUUGAGAAUCUCUUGGUC
rnacentral:lncRNA from 10 species